GAUGAACGCUGGCGGCGUGCCUAAUACAUGCAAGUCGAGCGAACAGAUGAGGAGCUUGCUCCUCUGACGUUAGCGGCGGACGGGUGAGUAACACGUGGAUAACCUACCUAUAAGACUGGGAUAACUUCGGGAAACCGGAGCUAAUACCAGAUAAUAUAUUGAACCGCAUGGUUCAAUAGUGAAAGACGGUUUUGCUGUCACUUAUAGAUGGAUCCGCGCCGCAUUAGCUAGUUGGUAAGGUAACGGCUUACCAAGGCAACGAUGCGUAGCCGACCUGAGAGGGUGAUCGGCCACACUGGAACUGAGACACGGUCCAGACUCCUACGGGAGGCAGCAGUAGGGAAUCUUCCGCAAUGGGCGAAAGCCUGACGGAGCAACGCCGCGUGAGUGAUGAAGGUCUUCGGAUCGUAAAACUCUGUUAUUAGGGAAGAACAAAUGUGUAAGUAACUAUGCACGUCUUGACGGUACCUAAUCAGAAAGCCACGGCUAACUACGCG
rnacentral:rRNA from 1 species